rnacentral:rRNA from 1 species
GAUGAACGCUGGCGGCGUGCCUAAUACAUGCAAGUCGAGCGAACAGACGAGGAGCUUGCUCCUCUGACGUUAGCGGCGGACGGGUGAGUAACACGUGGAUAACCUACCUAUAAGACUGGGAUAACUUCGGGAAACCGGAGCUAAUACCGGAUAAUAUAUUGAACCGCAUGGUUCAAUAGUGAAAGACGGUUUUGCUGUCACUUAUAGAUGGAUCCGCGCCGCAUUAGCUAGUUGGUAAGGUAACGGCUUACCAAGGCAACGAUGCGUAGCCGACCUGAGAGGGUGAUCGGCCACACUGGAACUGAGCCACGGUCCAGACUCCUACGGGAGGCACCAGUAGGGAAUCUUCCGCAAUGGGCGAAAGCCUGACGGAGCAACGCCGCGUGAGUGAUGAAGGUCUUCGGAUCGUAAAACUCUGUUAUUAGGGAAGAACAAAUGUGUAAGUAACUAUGCACGUCUUGACGGUACCUAAUCAGAAAGCCACGGCUAACUACGUG